rnacentral:rRNA from 1 species
UGGGGGAUAUUGCACAAUGGGGGAAACCCUGAUGCAGCGACGCCGCGUGGACGAAGAAGUAUUUCGGUAUGUAAAGUCCUAUCAGCAGGGAAGAAGAAAUGACGGUACCUGACUAAGAAGCCCCGGCUAACUACGUGCCAGCAGCCGCGGUAAUACGUAGGGGGCAAGCGUUAUCCGGAUUUACUGGGUGUAAAGGGAGCGCAGGCGGCAGCGCAAGUCUGAUGUGAAAGCCCGGGGCCCAACCGCGGGACUGCAUUGGAAACUGCGCAGCUGGAGUGCCGGAGGGGUAAGCGGAAUUCCUAGUGUAGCGGUGAAAUGCGUAGAUAUUAGGAGGAACACCAGUGGCGAAGGCGGCUUACUGGACGGCAACUGACGCUGAGGCUCGAAAGCGUGGGGAGCAAACAGG